UGGGAAUUGACAGAAAAGCUGUGUGAUAAAUUAUUAAAUGGGGAAGAUUAGCAGAGACAGUACUAGUGUUGCGCUGAAGACGAUAGUUUAGGAAAUGGUGUGACAACUGUUGCACAAGGGUUUCUUGUAUCUCUUUCUCCGGAACUAGUUAAGCGAAUGAUGUCCUGUCUGCUCCUGUACUGUCUGCUGUUGGUGAGCGUUAUUACAAUGUCAUUGCUGAAGCAUUAAGAGUGUGUGGGGAGGUUGCCUGAGUUGUGCAGCCUAAUGUUGUGGAUGUUGAAUUUGAUUGUAAGCUGAACAUUCAUCCAGUCGAUAACUCGUCUAGCUAACCAAGAUCAAAA